rnacentral:rRNA from 1 species
UACCAGCACCCCGAGUGGUCGGGACGUUUAUUGGGCCUAAAGCAUCCGUAGCCGGUUCUACAAGUCUUCCGUUAAAUCCACCUGCUUAACAGAUGGGCUGCGGAAGAUACUAUAGAGCUAGGAGGCGGGAGAGGCAAGCGGUACUCGAUGGGUAGGGGUAAAAUCCGUUGAUCCAUUGAAGACCACCAGUGGCGAAGGCGGCAUCCUGGACCGGCAUUGACGCUGAGGAGCGAAAGCUAGGGGAGCAAACGGG